AUCCAGUUGAUGAGUCCCAAAUAGAACGGAACACGCGUCCUGGAU
rfam:Schistosoma mattheei strain Denwood, Zambia genome assembly, scaffold: SMTD_scaffold0018801